rnacentral:rRNA from 1 species
GGACUACCAGGGUAUCUAAUCCUGUUUGCUCCCCACGCUUUCGCUCCUCAGCGUCAGUUCCGGCCCAGAGUGCCGCCUUCGCUACGGGUGUUCCUCCCGAUAUCUGCGCAUUUCACCGCUACACCGGGAAUUCCACACUCCUCUACCGGACUCGAGUCAUGGCAGUAUCGAGUGGCCCCUCCACGUUGAGCGUGGAGAUUUCACACCCGACUUACCAAACCGCCUACGAGCUCUUUACGCCCAAUAAAUCCGGACAACGCUCGCCCCCUACGUAUUACCGCGGCUGCUGGCAC